rnacentral:lncRNA from 1 species
AAAAAAAAAUUAGGGGAUAUUGGCCCUGUUAGAGAUGGAGUGUUGCUCGUUCCAUCACCCUAAUUCUCCCGGACCUUUUCCAAAAAUAUCAGCACAUAAAAACAUCUUAUCAAAUUACACACCAAAAGUCCAUUAUCAGAAUGAACUUCCCCAAUGCUACCAAAACAUUUAUACUUUGAAUCUCGCUCCUCUAGUGUAAGUAAAAGGUUUAAACCUUUUUUUGGUCCCUAAGUUAAGUUCUGAUGUUUAGUUUAGUCCCCGCUUUUAAAAAUGUCAACCUUUAGUCCCUAUGAUAUGAAAAAUGUAUCAAAUCAGUCCUCAUGACAGCA